GUAUGGCAGCUAAGCCCAAGUAUGGAUUGGCAGAACCAUCAAAUGAUUUCAUCUCAAAGUUGGUGGCUAGACCGUCGAGAGUUCCAGGUGGAGAUGAAGCUCGCAAUGGAGCCUCCUUAUUUUCGUUUCCCCAGAAAAGUUGUUUUUAAGACUUGAAGCUGAAAGGCCAUGAGUAAAGGUCUAAGUAUUGAUGUAUUCUUCAAAAGCUAGUGACAGCAAGUAAUAACAUUAGAGCAUCUUUCCAGAAAGACUUGUUGUCAACAUACACCACUAGAGCAUAUAUGAUAUGUGACUUUAUGUUAGAUUGUAAAAGAAUGGACUUUUAAUAAUUUUAUGAUAAAAGAAAUGAUUGUAUACAAAUUUACUGAAGUUAUAUAUUUUAACAUUUUAAUCAGGAUAUUUUAAAGUGGUAGUAAGAUAAAUGGUCCUGAAGUAUAACUAUUGUGUCUUGCUUAGAUAUUGUUAUGAUAGUGUAUAUUCAAAUCA